ACGUAUCCAACCUGCCGUCUACUCUUGGCCAGCCUUCUGAAAGGAAGAUUAAUCCAGGAUGGCAUCAUGAGUUCACAUGUCCGCAUGAUUAAAGGUAUUUUCCGGUAGACGAUGGGGAUGCGUUCCAUUAGAUAGUAGGCGGGGUAACGGCCCACCUAGUCAACGAUGGAUAGGGGUUCUGAGAGGAAGGUCCCCCACAUUGGAACUGAGACACGGUCCAAACUCCUACGGGAGGCAGCAGUGAGGAAUAUUGGUCAAUGGGCGAUGGCCUGAACCAGCCAAGUAGCGUGAAGGAUGACUGCCCUAUGGGUUGUAAACUUCUUUUAUAAAGGAAUAAAGUCGGGUAUGCAUACCCGUUUGCAUGUACUUUAUGAAUAAGGAUCGGCUAACUCCGUGCCAGCAGCCGCGGUAAUACGGAGGAUCCGAGCGUUAUCCGGAUUUAUUGGGUUUAAAGGGAGCGUAGAUGGAUGUUUAAGUCAGUUGUGAAAGUUUGCGGCUCAACCGUAAAAUUGCAGUUGAUACUGGAUGUCUUGAGUGCAGUUGAGGCAGGCGGAAUUCGUGGUGUAGCGGUGAAAUGCUUAGAUAUCACGAAGAAC
rnacentral:rRNA from 1 species